AGCGAACGCUGGCGGCAGGCCUAACACAUGCAAGUCGAACGGAUCCUUCGGGAUUAGUGGCGGACAGGUGAGUAACACGUGGGAACGUGCCCUUUGGUUCGGAACAACUCAGGGAAACUUGAGCUAAUACCGGAUGUGCCCUUCGGGGGAAAGAUUUAUCGCCAUUGGAGCGGCCCGCUUCUGAUUAGCUAGUUGGUGAGGUAAAGGCUCACGAAGGCGACGAUCAGUAGCUGGUCUGAGAGGAUGAUCAGCCACAUUGGGACUGAGACACGGCCCAAACUCCUACGGGAGGCAGCAGUGGGGAAUCUUGCGCAAUGGGCGAAAGCCUGACGCAGCCAUGCCGCGUGAAUGAUGAAGGUCUUAGGAUUGUAAAAUUCUUUCACCGGGGACGAUAAUGACGGUACCCGGAGAAGAAGCCCCGGCUAACUUCGUGCCAGCCGCCGCAGUAACAC
rnacentral:rRNA from 1 species